rnacentral:hammerhead_ribozyme from 1 species
GCACUGCUGAAGAGCCCCAAGAUAGGACGAAACGGCCGUCCAGUAC